CAGUGCUGGCCAGGCUGAGGGAGGCUAGGGAGCUUGAACCCGUAGCCUGCCAGGCUGCAGGCCCUGAAGGGAAGGGCCUAGCGGGUGCAAGGGGCCGUAGGGGAAGCGGCCCAGGGAAACAGACAGCCGAAGGGGAGAUAGGACAGCGAGGCUGAUGCCAGAGGGUCCCUGGGCCGGGACUCAGAGUAGAGGGCGGGCCUGGGUCCCCCCCCGCCCUUCACUCCUUGCAGUGCACCCAGCCAUUGGCUGUAGGGAGCGGCCAUCUUGCUAUGCCAGAUCCCUGACAAAAGGGAUUGGACUCAAAGGGCGGUUGAACAUAGUGACUGAGGUGUGGGACUGCUGAGCACCGACCCCCGGAAGGGGGUGCAGAUGGACUAAGGGGCACUGCCGGAGGGCAGUGGCCUCGAAAAGGAUGCCACUGAGCGUGCGGCAACGCAGGUCCAAAGACAACGACAGAGGACAGAACGAUGGACGGGACACCACCAAGAGGAGGCGUUCCACUGUAGAGAGCUAAUUCCCAGAGUCACCAGCAGGAGGCGCCGCUGGGACUAUUGCAAGAUAAACGGAAGAGCCAAGUGAAAAGCAUUUAAGAAGGAUCUCCAAAUGCUUUAUAGACUGGAUAUACAGUAAUGGAAUCUCUUCCCAACCACUGACCUAUAGCCACAUGGAGUGGAAGUGGAUUAUGACAGCUGAACAUCAAGGGGCAGAGCAUCUGUCUCAAUCAACUCCCUUUGGGUCUGGAAAAGAUGAUAAACACAAAAGCAGAAAGAAUACCUGCCAAAGAUCCUCCACUUCAUCUCUGUUCAGAUGCUGGUGCAUUCAAAUAGUAUGUUAAGAAGCUAAUGUGAAGUAAAAAUCUUUAAGGGAGACUACUGCAAAGUCCAGAGAAAGAAUAUGAAUACAACUGUCGUAACACCUUAAGUGAAUUACCUGAAUGAACAUCCUGCCUAUCUUGAAAAAACAGUCAUUGCAACUGUGAAGUUGAGCUGGAAAGCUCACCUUCAUGCCAGUUCCAAUUGAUAAGUACAAUUGACUUUUAUGCAUGCAUUUUGUUUAUCCAAGUGACAACUUGGUUAUGGUAAGCUAAAUGCUUCUUAUUUCAAAUGGGCCUGGUAAUUU